CAGCUGAGGUAGGCGGAAUGUAGUAUGUAGCGGUGAAAUGCUUAGAUAUACUACAGAACACCGAUUGCGAAGGCAGCUUACCAAACUGGCACUGACGCUCAGGCACGAAAGCGUGGGGAGCGAACAGGAUUAGAUACCCUGGUAGUCCACGCCGUAAACGUUGAUCACUCGUUGUUGGCAAUACACCGUCAGCGACCUAGCUAAUGCGCUAAGUGAUCCACCUGGGGAGUACGAUCGCAAGGUUGAAACUCAAAGGACUUGACGGGGGCCCGCACAAGCGGAGGAGCAUGUGGUUUAAUUCGAUGAUACGCGAGGAACCUUACCUGGGCUUAAAUGUAGUGUGCAUUCCCGUGAAAACGGGAUUUCCUUCGGGACCCACUACAAGGUGCUGCAUGGUUGUCGUCAGCUCGUGCCGUGAGGUGUCGGGUUAAGUCCCAUAACGAGCGCAACCCCUAUCUUUAGUUGCUAACAGGUCAUGCUGAGGACUCUAAAGAAACUGCCCGCGCAAGCGGUGAGGAAGGUGGGGAUGACGUCAAAUCAGCACGGCCCUUAUGUCCAGGGCUACACACGUGCUACAAUGGCAGGUACAGUGGCCAAGCUAUAACGCAAGUGAAUGCUAAUCUCUAAAACCUGUCUCAGUCCGGAUUGGAGUCUGCAACCCGACUCCAUGAAGCUGGAUUCGCUAGUAAUCGCACAUCAGCCAUGGUGCGGUGAAUACGUUCCCGGGCAUUGUACACACCGCCCGUCAAGCCAUGGAAGCUGGGAGUACC
rnacentral:rRNA from 1 species